UACGUAGGGGGCGAGCGUUGUCCGAAGUUACUGGGCGUAAAGAGCGCGUAGGCGGUUUUUUAAGUCUGGUGUGAAAGGUUCAGGGCUCAACCCGAACAGUGCACUGGAUACUGGGAGACUUGAGUGCGGGAGAGGAGAGUGGAAUUCCUGGUGUAGCGGUGAAAUGCGUAGAUAUCAGGAGGAAUACCGGUGGUGUAGACGGCUCUCUGGACCGUAACUGACGCUGAGACACGAAAGCGUGGGUAGCAAACAGG
rnacentral:rRNA from 1 species